rnacentral:rRNA from 5 species
GAUUGAAUGGCUCAGUGAGGCCUUCGGACUGGCCCAGGGAGGUCGGCAACGACCACCCAGGGCCGGAAAGUUGGUCAAACUCGGUCAUUUAGAGGAAGUAAAAGUCGUAACAAGGUCUCCGUAGGUGAACCUGCGGAGGGAUCAUUA